rnacentral:rRNA from 1 species
UACGUAGGGGGCAAGCGUUGUCCGGAAUCAUUGGGCGUAAAGCGCGUGUAGGCGGCCCGGUAAGUCCGCUGUGAAAGUCGGGGGCUCAACCCCGGGAGGCGGGUGGAUACUGUCAAGCUCGAGUCCGGAAGAGGCGAGUGGAAUUCCUGGUGUAGCGGUGAAAUGCGCAGAUAUCAGGAGGAACACCAAUGGCGAAGGCAGCUCGCUGGGACGUGACUGACGCUGAGACGCGAAAGCGUGGGGAGCAAACAGG